AUUGAACGCUGGCGGCAGGCUUAACACAUGCAAGUCGAACGAGCGGCGGACGGGUGAGUAAUGUCUGGGAAACUGCCUGAUGGAGGGGGAUAACUACUGGAAACGGUAGCUAAUACCGCAUACCAUCGGAUGUGCCCAGAUGGGAUUAGCUAGUAGGUGGGGUAAUGGCUCACCUAGGCGACGAUCCCUAGCUGGUCUGAGAGGAUGACCAGCCACACUGGAACUGAGACACGGUCCAGAAUCCUACGGGAGGCAGCAGUGGGGAAUAUUGCACAAUGGGCGCAAGCCUGAUGCAGCCAUGCCGCGUGUAUGAAGAAGGCCUUCGGGUUGUAAAGUACUUUCAGCGAGGAGGCGUUACCCGCAGAAGAAGCACCGGCUAACUCCGUGCCAGCAGCCGCGGUAAUUC
rnacentral:rRNA from 1 species